rnacentral:rRNA from 1 species
CGUAGGUGACCUGCGGAAGGAUCAUUACUGAGUGAGGGUCCCUCGGGGCCCAACCUCCCACCCGUGUAUACCGUACCUUGUUGCUUCGGCGAGCCCGCCCCCCUUCCUUAGGGGUGGCACAGCGCUCGCCGGAGACACCAACGUGAACACUGUCUGAAGUUUUGUCGUCUGAGUCGAUUGUAUCGCAAUCAGUUAAAACUUUCAACAAUGGAUCUCUUGGUUCCGGCAUCGAUGAAGAACGCAGCGAAAUGCGAUAAUUAAUGUGAAUUGCAGAAUUCAGUGAAUCAUCGAGUCUUUGAACGCACAUUGCACCCCCUGGUAUUCCGGGGGGUAUGCCUGUCCGAGCGUCAUUGCUGCCCUCAAGCACGGCUUGUGUGUUGGGUCGUCGUCCCCCCCGGGGGACGGGCCCGAAAGGCAGCGGCGGCACCGCGUCCGGUCCUCGAGCGUAUGGGGCUUUGUCACCCGCUCUUGUAGGCCCGGCCGGCUGCUGGCCGACGCUGAAAAGCAACCAAUCUAUUUCAUCAGGUUGACCUCGGAUCAGGUAGGGAUACCCGCUGAACUUAAGCAUAUCAAA